GACUUUGCCUUUUGAUCCUGCCUAAUCUUGUUCUCCCCUGCACAUUUGCUGCCUCAUUUCUUCCUUCAGAAAUGGCAAGUUUUCUUUCUGCUAAGUACAUAAACAGCUUCUAAUCAGCAAACAAUCGGCUGUAGAUGUAGAGGGUUUGGCCAGGAGGAGAAACAGAGAUGUGACAAACAGAUGAGAGCAGCCGGCAAGCCCGGGGAACGCCCAUGGGCACAGAGCUCCUGGAGGGCAGGGCAUGCGGGGGCAGAGAGGAUGAGGAAUGCGCCCCACUCGCACCUGUGACCAGGGACACAGACGUGUGAGCCUCGCUGACAGAAGACAGCUGCAGGACCCGAGGGAUCAAGAGCUUCACCCAGCUAACAGAACUACACACACUUGCGAAUUUCUAAUUUUGAAGAGGCUUCCCAUGAAGAAUGCAGUGUGUGAGAAGUAUGUCAAGAGAAGAGUAAAAAAACAACCAGGAGCUGGGCGCAGUGGCUCACGCCUGUAAUCUCAGCACUUUGGGAGGCCAAGGCGGGCGGAUCACGAGCUACCUGUAAGAAGAAUCAAGAUAAAGAAUUCAUGAAUGAUAAAAACACUUUGAAAAGACUGGUGGCUCCAUAAAAGCUGACUUUGUGCCUGGAACAUUGGAAGUGACCCGUCAGUGCUUACUGAAUGAAUAGGCGAAUGAACAAAACCUCCUGCAAUACAGCUUUCUUACCAUGCCUCAAGAGACUCUUCAGUCCAUCCUACUGUAGUUGCUGUUGAUUGGGUUCUCCCUGAGUACUGACCCUAGGCCCAGAUUCAGAGAUUUCUCCAAAGAAAGAGCUUCUUUCAAAGACAUCAUUCCUAUUGUCAACCCUGUUGGCAUAGACACAAAAUGUAAACGUUGGACAAAGGCAAUACUUGCUGUGACAAAGGCGAUAUUUGCUGUAACAAAACACAAAUGUCUGUCCAUCAGUGGGGAACGAGAAUGCUGGGAUUUGAAGAGGCCAAAAAAAUAAUACUGCUCUCUUUCUCUUUUGAGAAAGAGAGGGGAUUUUUUUUUUUUGAAAAGCCAUAAGCUUAGGACAGAUGAAAUUCAAAAUCCACACUAAACUUCACUGGAGAAUGUAAGCAAAAUAUGAGGCCACAGGUGAGCUUUCUAUUUCCUUCCUCCACUCUACAAGAUGGCCACUGAUAUUUGGCUGUGUCCCCAAAUCUCAUCUUGAAUUGUAGUUCCUAUAAUCCCCAUGUGUCAUGGGAGGGAUCCAGUGGGAGGUAAUUGAAUCAUGGGAGCAGUUACUCCCUUGCUGUUCUGUGAUAGUGAAUGAGAUCUCAUGAGAUCUGAUGGUUUUAUAAGGGGCUUUUUCCCCUUUGCUUGGCACUUCUCCGUCCUGCCAUCAUGUGAAGAGGGAUGUGUUUGCUUCCCCUUCUGCCAUGAUUGUAAGUUUCCUGAGGCCUCCCCAACCAUGUGGAACUGUGAGUCAAUUAAACCUCUUUCUUUCAUAAGUUACCCAGUCUCAGGCAGUUCUUUAUAGCAGCGUGAGAACAGACUAAUACGCCCACCCAGGAUUCAGUCUCCCACCUGCAGAAGCAGCGGUCCCCCAGUCGCUGUACUCCUGGCAUCUUUGAGGGCCAGCCACUGGGACUGAAAGCUCAAAGAGGGCAGGGCCGCUUAUGCCUAGUUUCUUCUCCUAGUUUCAACAGUAAGAUAUAUCAUCCCCACCUAGGGGAGAGAAUGAAGUCUGGAAUCACUAAUAGUGUUAUAUCCUGGGAAUGUAAAUUCCCUCAUGCAACAUGAGGGGGAAGAAUAAGAUUUCCACCAGAUAAAUAAAUAAAUAGUUUGUGGUGCACCCAAUGUUAUGUUAUAUAUCUAUUUACAAGAAUACAGUCAGAUAAGAUCUACAUAUACCAACACAAGAAAUGUUUCAAAGGAUUUUAAAAGUGGUAGAAAAAUUGCAACACUAUUUGUGACUUUUUUUUUUUUUUGACACGGUCUUGCUCUGUCACCCAGGCUGGAGUAGAGUAGCAUGAUCAUGGCUCACUGUAGCCUUGACCGCCUAUGCCCAAGGUGUCCCCCUGCCUCAGCCUCCUAAGUAGCUAGGACCACAGGCACAUACCAUUACACUCAGCUAAGUUUAAAUUUUUUGUAGACAUGGGGUUUCACCCUGUUGUGCAGGCUGGUCUAGAACUCCUGGACUCAAGAGACUCCCUGCCGUGGCCUCUCAAAGCACUGGGAUUACAGGCAUGAUCAUGGCCCUGCUUAUGCAGGUGCAAGACCUCUGCUUACGCAGGUAGGAGCCCUCCAUGUCCCCAGCCUGACCUUCUUCUUGUAAAAGUAAAUGAAUAAUUCUAAUAUAUGUUAGCAUAUGUAUAAAUAUGAAAAAGGAAGACUAUGCAUUGAACUUAAUGAUGGUUAUCUUUAGCAGGUAGGAUCACAGCAAAUGUUUAUUAUAGUUUUGAUGAUGUCUGAAUUUUGUAUUAAUGGAAAACCAUUUCUUCUAUAAUAAGGAAAAAUAAUAAACAGUAGAAAAAAGGGAA